CACACCUGCAUAGUAGUAGGAGAUACAAAAGACUCCUUCCUGGCAGACUUGGCUCAUUUAGAAACAACCCUGCCUUGCAGGGCCCAUAUGUCAGUGGCACCCCAACAGGCUUGCCAAGUCUUCCUUUCCCCACCAGAGGCUGGGAGGAGGUUAAAGAAGAUAAUGCCAGGGGGCAAAUGGACAUUCAUCCAAUGUUGAAGGGGAGGUACUUGUAGAGGAGGGGUUACUGUUUCCAUUUUGCUCUGUAUAGUGGCCUGGCAUCAUGAGCAUUGAUUUUUCCUGUUUAGGGUAGAAUUAUCAAAUCCUGAGGGGUGAUGUGAACUUCUCCACUAAGAAGAGAAGCAAGUAUCCAGUGAUUUGUGUAGUGACCAGCUCUUGGUAUUUUCCUGAGGGAAGAGGCAGUAGGGACCUGAGUCCUUAUAAACUCUAGUGGCUGACAUCAUAACUUUUUGCCCACCUUAAGGUGUGUUCCAGCAAGCCUCAUUCCACAAAAGGAAGAAAUGAGUCAUCAUAUCUGUUGAUACAGGCUGAAGGCUGCCACAAACACAUACCUGCAGGAGCUUUCUAAUCUCACCAAAAACAUGUUGAGAAUCUGCCUACCUGUUAUAACGGCAUGCUGCAUUGUUCUGCAUGGCAGCAACUGACUAUGCAGUCUUCAAGUUCAAUCCAAGGAAGGGAAUGAUAUUCCUCCCAAAGGAAUGGCUCAAGUUUGUGGGAACCAAGGAACGCAGUAGAGUAUAAGCUCAUUAAGGCAAGGGAUUCUGGGAAACAGAGUGGCUGUUUGCUAAAGAUUGUGGCUUCAAGGCCAGAGGCAAGAUGGGGAAGAAAGACCCUACCACCACCACCACAAUCUCUUCUUAAAGCAAGAUCAUUCUUGAGAGAUUAGCCCACAAGUGCUCA